GUCGCUAUCGUUGGCCCCACCCUGAAGGAGAGGUAGCGUCUGUGGUUUCGCAAGCCCUCAAAGCUAGGUCGGUGCCGAUGGAAGCUGCUCAUCGCGGGGUCGGUUCGCUGCUAUUUUGACCGGGCACUCCAUGUCUGCAUCUUCCUUUUCUUCUUCAUGCGUGGUGGUGGUGCUCCUCUUCUUCGCCGGCUGAGCUGCGUCGGUGCGGGCGGCUGUUGGGUGCCGCCAUAUUCGGCUGUCUCCUUCGGGCUUCUCCGCUCUGGUUUGUUUCCUCCCCCUCUUUGUUCUGCCUUUUAUCCUCCUGUUGCUGUGGUGGUGGCUCCGGUGAAGUGGAUCGUGGGAGGUUUCGCUGGAGGGACGUGUGUGCCGUGGAUCUGUGAUGGGCGUGCGUGUGGCUGCCGGUUGGGAUUGAGGCCGAUUCGCGCCUGGUCUGUGUGUAUUGUUGUAGAUUCAUUGAUUUAGGGGUGUUUGGAAUUUGUUUUGUUGGACUGGUCGGCACGUAUGGUCACCCUUGGGCUGCAUGGUGCGUGCUUUGGGAUCGAAUUCCUUCGGCCUGGAUACAGGGCCGUCCUGCCGGCGUUCUGUUCGUCGUGUGCUUUUGCCUGUGGAGGGCUUGCUCUGCUGGAUGUUUGUUUGGUAGUUUUGCGAUUUAGGUAGGAUGGUGCUGCUAAAUGUUGCCGCCUGCAAUCAGACCUUGAUUUUGGUUGAGGAGUUUGGGUUUCCAAUGACUGAAACCAAACUGCAUGCUGCAUUUAGUUCCAUGUACUUUGAGAAUCUAUUGUUCUCUGUCGGGGAGGGAAUUUGACUGGCAGCUGUUGUGCGUGUGCGUUUCAACUACUCAAUGGACUAUGUCGACCGUUGAUGUUAUAUUUGGUGGUUGUUACCGUUUGGAUUCGAACUAACACAUCACCUUUACUAUGCUCUGGAUUCUUCAUUGGGUGAGGCCAUGGUGUUUGGAUUAUAUGAUUAGUUAUGGUUCCUCCUUUCUGCAUUUGAUUGAGGUCUCUAGGUUGUAUAUUGUUUUGGCGGCGAUUGGGGACGAGUUCACGACCAGUGGGGUUCUUCCGUGUUUUUUUGGGAUUACUCGAUGGAUGUGCUCCUUUUUUUGGCUAGGUCAGGAGGGAAGGCCCGUAUCUGAAUUUGCAUUAUAACAAAAAAGUUAGCCACAAAGAUUCAUGAGAUUAUAUCCAGAUAUUGCAAGGAGGAGGGGAGCAGAAAAAUGAGAAAGAGAAAAUAAUGCAACAUGAAAGCUAACACAGCUAGGGAACUUCAGAAACUGCCAGUCAGUAAUCUAAAAUUUAGCCAGACUCCUUUUUUGCUUUCUUAUAUCUGAAAUACCAGAGUUUCACUCAAUAUAUGGUGUAGCAAACACUGCAAUAGGCAUCUCUAUGUCAUAAAACACUUUUCAGUUUAUAGCUGUUAAUAUGAAACUGUCUGUUCCUCAAUAGAGAUGGAUCCAACUAAGGAAUCUUGGACAGACGUCGCAAUGUUGAUAGGAUUAACUCACCACAAACAGUGGAGAACCAAAUAGCAUAACUGCAGCUCCAUCAUCCCGAAAGGAAUUUCUAGGUAAAUAAUGUACAUUACAUUGCACUACCAAGUAGGUAAGUAAUGGCAUUUUGAAUGAUAUGGAUUUAGAUGUUCUACAAUCUGGCUUUUACUGUCCCAACAAAGCGCUUGGUUAUUAUUUAGCUAUUUUUUCUAUUUGAACACCAAGAGCCUCACAUGUCAGUGCAUGGUUUCUUCGAGCAUAUUAUGGGUAGUCCUCAUGGGCACAAAUUCCAAAUAUUCCAGUAUAGAGUUGCUUUUCUCUUUUUUUAUGGAAGGGUGUACAUAGUAACCUGUUUGAAUUCAAUAGUAAAUCCAAGGUGGAAGUAUUUUAAAUUAAUUGCAUGAAAGUAGGAAAACGCCCCAAAGGACAUGCAUUGUAUGAGGUAAUUUAGGUAAUUAGUAGAAAACCAGUUACGAGAGCAGAGAUGAGUAAGUACUGGAUAUGGAAUAACUGCUAGCUAGAGUUGUAGAGUACAAGCAAACUAGAUUUUAGAAGAAUCCAUUGUCGUGUUAAAUGUAGGUUCCCUAUAAGGUUUCUCUGUUCAGCUGUAAAAAUUAGUAACUUCAUAAUUUCAAGUCCUCUUUGCAUUUUGUUACUUUUUGGUACACUGAGUUGAAUUACUUGAGCUAAGGAUAUUUUCUUUACAGAACAUUCUUGCAGGUUUGAGAUACUAAUAAUAAUUAUUAAAUCACCGACACGAUAUUGAGUUUCAGACUAAUUAAUGUGCUUUAUUUAGCUCCUCCCAUUUCUCAAAUGGAAAAAUCUAUAUUUGACCUUUCCAUUUUCUUCUCAGAAUUAUGCACAAGUUUCCCCUUUCUCUUUUCUUCUGGUUACUUUACUUUUUACCAGCAGACCUUUCGUUCUUUUACAUGCUGCAUCACUUCAUAGUUGUUUUCAGUGGCCAGGAGUGCAUGGCAGCAAGUUGUGAUGAUGCUUGAGCAUAUAUUUCUGUGUAAAUUUUAUGUUCUACAUCUUAAUUGAUGGUCCACAUACUUCUGACUUUUCGUGUAUUUUCCAUUACAGCAAAACAAAAAGGCACAAUAUUGUGGAUGUCAAAAUGUCACAUACAAUUAAAUUUGAUCAAUUACUACUGAUUUUCGUAGAAUUCUAUAGGGAGGUUGUUAUUCGCCGGUGCCGCUGUCUCCUCCUCAUGUUUCUCCCAACAAUUUGGUUCCACUUAAGAUGUUGAAUAGGUAACUACAUGUUUUUUUGUUCAGUUGCAUCUUUGUAACAGCUUUGCUAUCGUAGGUGUCAAGUGUGCACACCAAUGCCCGAUGAGAAAUAUUGUACAAAAUAAAUCUGUGAUACUUCAAGUGCCAGGCGUACACACCAAUUGUUUGUAGAAAUUCUUGAUGAGAAAGAUUGAACAAAAUGAACUAGAUGCACAUGCUCACCUGACUGUCCAAACUGGAGUUGAGUGCAAUGUAAAUUGUACAUAGCAGAGUUUUUAACAUUCAUCAUGACAUUAGAGUUUGAGUGCAAUGUAAAUUGUACAUAACAAAGUUUGUAACAUUCAUCAUGACAUUAAUUUAUAUACAUUCUAUUUUUGUGUUAUUUGAACUAAUACAACACCUAUGGAGAAACCACAACACCCAUUCUAUAAUGUUCAAAGUGACCAUGAUAUAUCAUCAUUUUUUCUACUAUUUGUAUCCUCAUCUGGUUUACAUGAUGUGGGUUGUUGUCUUAGUUGGUGUACAUGCAUGGUGGUUGGAGUAAUGUACUUAAUUGCUUUCAGAUGUUGAUGGUUAACCCUGUAUGUACGGCGGAAAAGAGAUAGGAGGUGAUCACAAGGAACAAUAUUUCAUAGCCCUUUCAUCCUUCCUUUAGCUGACCUUGUGCUCAUGUGAUGAUCUGGUGGCCUUGUGUUUCUCUUCGUCUUCUCGAUCAUGUGUCGCUCUCGCGGAAGGACUUUACUUCAGUUCACCCGAGUCUAUCAUCCGGGCGACAAGCCCAGACAUGUGACAUUUUUAUAAUGUGUUGUAGCCUAGCUGAGAUAUCUUGAGAAUAAUUGGAAGCCUCAUAUGUCUAUUCUGAACUCUAAAAUGUAAUAAUCACUUCACAAUCCCUGAUCCCUAUUCUGAAGUCUGAAUUUCUACAUUAAAUAAAGUAUCAUCAUUAAUUUGCGUAUGCCUUUUGAAGUUUCUCCCUUGUUUAUAUGUGAAUGAGGGGACAUGCAAUACUGCCAUUAGAACUGAGCACCAGUGCUUGUGUCACAUGAGAUCAACAAUGUAACUGGAAGGGAACUGGAGAUGGAUCGAGAUGGAUGAUGAUGCUCUCGCAAAAGCAAUUAUUGGCACCAUAGAUGACACAUUGACAUGGAUUCCUACAAGCUACCACAUGCAGAUCGCGUUUCAGCUGAAUUUUUGGUUCGCCCAAGAAAAAACUUAUUUCGCUAAGAUAGAAAAUAUAUAUCAACAAAAGACAUGGAACUGAUAGGAUAGGCAUGAAACAGCCGUUCGUUUGUGCGUCUUGGUUCAAAAAAAGUUGUACCUUCUUUCA